CAGAUUGAAACCUUCCAGUAGGAGCAAAGGGACAAGCAAAAAGGCUUUGCUUAAUAUGAUAGCAGAAGAGUUGUCCUACUUGGCAGCCCUUGCUUCUGGAAGGCGUUUGCUAAUUGCUCAGACAUUGGAGACCGCGAUUAAAGAUGACCCAGGCUCACAGUUAGGGGCAAGGAGUGUGCGAUUCCAUGGGAAUUCUCCGAAGAGCCACGGAACCUAAGGUAUGGAGCUUCCCCUGAAGAACAAAUCAGAGCUUGCUCUGUACAUUACGGUCUUCAGGAGUUUUCUGGAAUAUUGAGAGGUCAAGUGACUUGUCAAGGAUCACACAGAUAGUAUGUAUAUCAAAUGUGCUUGACCAAACAAGUCUUCCUGAUUCCAAAACCAGUUCUCUACCCACUAUUCCAACAAGAACCUUUUGAGGUUAGUAGGGUCACAAAAUAUGACAGGAAUAUUCAAAGGAAUGCAAGAGGAAGAAAGUGCUCAUAAAUGGGGAGAUCUGGAAGGCUUCAUGGAGGGGUUGGCAUCUGAGUAGUGGUGAGAAGAGAAUGCAAUCUUGACAUAGGAGGCCAAAAAAGAAAGAGCUAUGGACUCUGAGUUGAGAAGACCUGUCUACAUUCAAACCCUGUGUGACUCUGGAAAUCUUCAUCCAAGUUGGCAUGAAGCUGGCAAGUCAUGAACUUUUGACCGGAGCUCGGAUUGCUGGGAGACACAUCCUCCUCGUUAGUUUCGGGUGACAGCUCACUGUACCAGAGAACUAACUCAUAGAGAAAGAGAGAAGAGGGGGAGGACGAUUUGCCACUGCAUUUUCACAGGGCAAGAAAUUCCACCCAGCUCAAAUGUGUGUUUGGCCUAUUGCCUGAGGCCUUGUUGAACACAUGACUAUCACUCUUCUGCCUAUUUCUGGCCCGGAUUUGGGCCCUGGUGGCUAAGCAAACCCCAGUAGUGGCUAAAAUUAGGCAGUCAAGUUGUGACAACAUAUGCUCGUCUCCAACAAAAGGAGAGAUGUCUAUUUAAAAGAAAGAGAAAGAAGCUAGACUUGCUCAAGGGUCAAUGUCAGUCUCAUAUAACUGACCAGUUUCUGUUUCUAUUAUUCAGAUAACAGCUGAGGAGCCCUUUGAGAUCAACCCACCAAAAUAGACCACUUCCUGCCUACCCACCAUCUUGAAAUGUCUAACAUUACUGUUCCAGCCCAAAUUUGCACUUACUAUUGCAAACAAGGUAGCCCAGUUAGAUAAGAUGAUAGAAAAUAUCUUUAAUGUCAUGAAUUUCAGGGUUAUUCUCAUAGAAUAAGUGAAAAGUCAUAGAUAGAUAUAGAUAUAGAUAUAGAUAUAGAUAUAGAUAUAGAUAUAGAUAUAGAUAUAUGGACUCACCAAUUCCAUUAAUAUUUCAGAAGACGUUGGGGCUGGAGCUACUUUCCCAUCAAUAUGUGAGAAAUGUGUUUGGAGGUCAUGAGGAUCAUGAUGUAGGAUUACAAACUCAUAGAUUUGGAUCCAGAUGGGAUUUUAGAGUCCAACUAUUUCAAUUCCCUGUAGAUUAUCCUUCUGUUGACAUGAAAAGUCAUUAUUGCCUCAAGAUUUAAAAUUUUCUAGAAAGGAGAUUUUAUGCAAUGAUAAUAAUGUUCUUUGUUGAUACUUAUAUGGCAUUUUAAGGAUUGCAAAACACUUUAAAAAUAUUUUCUUCUUUUAUCCUCAGGACAAUUCUAGGAAAUAAGUGGUAUUCUUUCCCCCAUUUUAUAGAAGAGGAAAUUGAGGAAAACAGAGGUUAAAGACAGAGGCUAGAUUUGAACUCAGGUCUUCCCAAUUCUAAAUAGAAUGUUCUACACAUUGAAUAAAAUUUCUUUUCAUAAAGAAAAUAGAUACCUUGUUCAAGUUAGAAUCAUUGAGUCUGGGGUUUAGUGGGCUACCCGUUUAACAUAAGUUAACAAUAAGUUUUUUGACUUUGUCAUUCCCUUAAGAUAUCAUAAUAUAGAUGGUAGAGUCAAAAUGGUGGUGUAGAGGCAGCAAAAGUUCAGACCUCUAAAAACCCUUCCUUACUGAUUAAAAACCAAAUGCUCCUAGGGAACUGAAAAUCAAAUCUAACAACAGGACAGAGCCAAGGAAUCCUCCUGCUGGACUCAACUUAAAAGGUACACUCUCCAAAAGCCUGAAUUUGAGAACACUUGGGUUUAAGGGGAAGCAAGAAGGAAGGUCCCAGGACCCCUCCCCCUGAGCCUCUAGCAGUGGCUGGAAUCUCUGGGCAGGCAAGGGCACUAGUCUGGAGGGAACAUCUUACAGGCAAAGCUGUGCCAGGCUCAGGGCAUAGAAUACAGGUGGUGGGGAAGCAGCUAGAUAAGAAGCACAGAGCAGGUAGCCUCCUUGCAGCUGAGACACUCCAUAUUGCCCCCUCCCUUCCCAAUAUUUUAGUCUCAGGGCACAUCCAGAUCUGCAAGUUCAACUAUGCUGGGCUUAAUUUUAUCAAGCCUUCGGAGCACAGGGAAGGUCAAGCUCCAACAACCCUCCCCCAUAGAUUGCUCUGAUUGCCUUGCUAAGUUCCAAAGGUGAAGGUUGACAGAAAUGUCCAAACCCACAGAUCCAACACAUAAUGAGAGGACCAAGAGUGCAGGCAACUACAGGGGGAAAAGAAGGGGAAAAUAUGAGCAAACAAUAGAAAAAGGAAAAAGAAAAAAGAAAUUACAAUCAACAACUUCUAUCCAGGCAAUGAACAAAGAGCAAAUAUAACAGAGGAAGAUUAAAGAAUAUCAAGAAAAAACACAGAUACUCCAUCGAACUGGACACAGCCUCUAGAAGAAAUCAAAAUACAAUUCAAAACACAAUUAAGAGAGGUUGAAGACAACUGGGAAAAGAACUUAAAAAGCAAGAUAACUCAUCUGGAAACAGAAAAUAGUGUCUUGAAAGCCAAAAUCAAUCAGCUUGAAAAUGAGGCAAAGGAGAUGAAAGAUGAAGCAAAGAAAAUGAAAGCUGAGGCAAAGAAGAUAAAAGAUGACCUCCAAAGAAAAUCAGACCAGUAGGAGAAGGAUGACCAAAAAGCCAGGGAUGAAAUUCAGUCUUUAAAAACCAUAAUACAACAAUUGGAAGCAAGCAGCUUCACAAGGCACCAGGAAACGAUAAAACAAAAUCAAAACAAUGAAAAAUUUGAGGAAAAUAUAAAACAUCUCAUUCACAAGACAGAAGAUAUAGAAAAUCAUUCCAGGAGAGACAACAUAAGAAUCAUUGGUCUAUCGAAAGACCAUGACAAAAGAAAAAGCCUGGACAUCAUCCUACAGGAAAUUAUCUAAGAAAACUUCUCCAAAAUUCUAGAGCAAGAGGGAAAAGUGGAGAUUGAAAGAAUCCACAAAUCACCUCCUGUACUUAAUCCCCAACUGACAACACCCAGGAAUGUCAUAGCGAAAUUCAAGAACUAUCAGACCAAAGAAAGAAUAUUACAAGCUGCUAAGAAGGAGUCAUUCAGAUACCAUGGAACUACAGUGAGGAUAACACAGGAUCUGGCUGCAUCUACACUGAAGGACUGAAAGGCAUGGAAUAUGAUAUUCGGGAAAGGAAGGGAACUAGGUCUACAACCAAAAAUCAACUACCCAGCAAAACUGACUAUAUAUUCUUAUAGGAAAAAGUAUGGUUAUUUAAUAAAGUAGAAGAAUUCCAAGCAUUUGAAAAGAAAAGACCAAACUUGAACAGAAAAUUUGAUGCCCAAACAUAGAACCCAAGAUAAUCAUCAAAAUGUAAUUAAGAAAGGGAGAAAAAAGAAAAACAAAACAAACAAACAAACAAAAAACAACCUUCUUUUAAGGGACCUAAUUAGUUAAAAUGAAAUUUAUCCCUAUAAGAAAAGAGGAUAUUGGUAACUCUUAAAAAUUGUUAUUAUCCCCUGGGUAGCUAGAAGAAUUACACGUAGAGGGAACACUGACAAACUGUAUAGGAUAAA